GAGUUUGAUCCUGGCUCAGGACGAACGCUGGCGGCGUGCUUAACACAUGCAAGUCGAACGGUGAUGUCAGAGCUUGCUCUGGCGGAUCAGUGGCGAACGGGUGAGUAACACGUGAGUAACCUGCCCCCGACUCUGGGAUAACUGCUAGAAAUGGUAGCUAAUACCGGAUAUGACGACUGGCCGCAUGGUCUGGUCGUGGAAAGAAUUUCGGUUGGGGAUGGACUCGCGGCCUAUCAGGUUGUUGGUGAGGUAAUGGCUCACCAAGCCUACGACGGGUAGCCGGCCUGAGAGGGUGACCGGCCACACUGGGACUGAGACACGGCCCAGACUCCUACGGGAGGCAGCAGUGGGGAAUAUUGCACAAUGGGCGCAAGCCUGAUGCAGCAACGCCGCGUGAGGGAUGACGGCCUUCGGGUUGUAAACCUCUUUUAGUAGGGAAGAAGCGAAAGUGACG
rnacentral:rRNA from 1 species